GAAAAUAUCUUUGAAGUUUCUGUCUAUGGAGACAAAAUUUCAGAAGAAUGCAGUUGCUAAUUCUUUGCCGUUAAAUACUGCUGGUGGUAGCCAAAAUCCUCAAGAUCCAGGUAAAAAUUUUCUAUGAUAUAGAGAUUACUGGUACAUCAUAUUUUAUUAAUGUUAAAGUGUCCCGUAAGAGAUUUUGCUAUUACAUACUUAACUAUGUUAUAAGUGUUGAUUUUUAUUUCAAUUAUUUGUUUUGCGAUGUGCAUCAUAGUUCACUUAUUGCCAUUUUCUCUGAGUUAUUAAUCACCUGAUUUAUAUAUUUACUUUCUUAAUUUUACCAAAAUAGCGUCUCACAGUAUGCAGUCUCAAGUGCGCAACCCAGGGCAGUUACAAAUUUCUUUAGCUAACCAGUCUCUAGCAUGGCAGCAGCUGUUGUCCCAGAAAAUUCAGAAUGAUAUCGCAAAUCCUGGAAUUCAAGGACCCAGAUCAUGGUCACAAAUUCGAACUAACCAUUCUAAUAUUGAAUCUAACAUGGACGCUACUGAUUGGAAAACCCUACUUCAACCUGAAUCUCGAACACGCAUAGUCACUAAGAUGGUGGAAAUUCUGAAGAGACACCUUCCAUUUACUGGCCCUGAGGGAUUGGUAGAGCUUGAUAAACUUGCUGUAAGAUUCGAAGAAAAGAUUUUUACUGCUGCUGCUGCAAGCCAGGUAUAUCAUUCAAUGUGGUGCGCCAGUGUUACUGCUUGACUAGUUUUUUCUACUGAUAUGCUCUUAUUUUCACUUCAUAUAAUUAACCCAUGAAGUACCUAGUUGCUAAGUCUGCGAGAUUUUGAUUGAUUAAAAUUGAAAAUGCGACAUUGUUAUGUGCUCAUGCUUCAUCGGUGCGUUUUGGGAGAGUUGCGAGUAUGUGGGCACAAAUAUUUCACCGCUUAAAGGCAUUAUAAAGUAGUUAGUAUAGGAACUAGAAGCAAAUGGGGAUCUUUUCUAAUUUAGAGUUACACUUACUGCGUGACUAACCUGAGACGUGAGCUAUACGAGAGAUAAAUUGUUUAACAUUACAAGUGAGCAUUAUAUUCACGUGUUUCACCUUGAAUUGUUAAAUUACUCAGAAAUUCUUAGUUUUUGUGGAAGAGAGACAGAGUACUUGAACCUUCUUUGCUGUUCUUUAAUUAUUAAGAUCGAUAACGGAGUUGUGGGAGACUUUGGGGACACAUAAAUGAUAAAUUGAGUUUGGGACUGUGGAAUUGUUCUUGGAGAUGUUCAAGCCAUUUUUGCCAUAGUGUUCUUCUGAGAGGUACGAAUCUGCUCAUUGUUAAUUUUCGGUUACAAAUCUUUAGGUGUAUUUGACAUGAAGAUGAAGUACAAAUGCCCUAUCAUAUCCAGUUAGAUAUUACCACCUUUUACGUUAACAUUUAUGAAACAUGAAGUACUCUGUACAUAUACCUUUCUAGUUUACACAAACCUCUUGCAGUACUAAUUGAGUUAUUUGGAGCUGAAGUCUUGAAAGUUACUUGAGCUGUGCUUGUUACCCGAUGUCCCAUUGGGGACAGUACUUAAUCUCCUGCGGGACCUGGCUGAGUCUGAGAAGGGUAUUUAUGCUUCUAUUACAGUAAUGUGUCGGAAGGAUUUGAUGUUAUUAGUUAUCAGUAAGGUAUAAUUUCCUAAGAUCUGGUAAAUACUUUUCUCUUUCUUUGCACCCGUCCUCUGGGUUUUAGGAGGUUAUAAUCUUUAAGCAGUAGCAGCGAUAAGGUGUCACAUUAGAGUAAUAGAUGAUGUGCUAACAGAGCAAAAUCAUGUAAUGAAUACAGUUUGGAUGAUCAACAUAUAAAAUUAUCUUUCGUUGAGAACUGGGUACCAGUGCAUCUUAUGUAAAUCAUGUUUGCCGAUGUAUCAUGAUCUCUGCACCAUAUAUUUGUUUGUAUAUUUACUCAUUGAACUUCUUUUUAACAUGCAACACUUAUGGAAUUUAUCUAAAUUAAUUUUAUAAUAUAUAGUCGGAUUAUCUACGAAAAAUAUCUUUGAAGUUUCUGUCUAUGGAGACAAAAUUUCAGAAGAAUGCAGUUGCUAAUUCUUUGCCGUUAAAUACUGCUGGUGGUAGCCAAAAUCCUCAAGAUCCAGGUAAAAAUUUUCUAUGAUAUAGAGAUUACUGGUACAUCAUAUUUUAUUAAUGUUAAAGUGUCCCGUAAGAGAUUUUGCUAUUACAUACUUAACUAUGUUAUAAGUGUUGAUUUUUAUUUCAAUUAUUUGUUUUGCGAUGUGCAUCAUAGUUCACUUAUUGCCAUUUUCUCUGAGUUAUUAAUCACCUGAUUUAUAUAUUUACUUUCUUAAUUUUACCAAAAUAGCGUCUCACAGUAUGCAGUCUCAAGUGCGCAACCCAGGGCAGUUACAAAUUUCUUUAGCUAACCAGUCUCUAGCAUGGCAGCAGCUGUUGUCCCAGAAAAUUCAGAAUGAUAUCGCAAAUCCUGGAAUUCAAGGACCCAGAUCAUGGUCACAAAUUCGAACUAACCAUUCUAAUAUUGAAUCUAACAUGGACGCUACUGAUUGGAAAACCCUACUUCAACCUGAAUCUCGAACACGCAUAGUCACUAAGAUGGUGGAAAUUCUGAAGAGACACCUUCCAUUUACUGGCCCUGAGGGAUUGGUAGAGCUUGAUAAACUUGCUGUAAGAUUCGAAGAAAAGAUUUUUACUGCUGCUGCUGCAAGCCAGGUAUAUCAUUCAAUGUGGUGCGCCAGUGUUACUGCUUGACUAGUUUUUUCUACUGAUAUGCUCUUAUUUUCACUUCAUAUAAUUAACCCAUGAAGUACCUAGUUGCUAAGUCUGCGAGAUUUUGAUUGAUUAAAAUUGAAAAUGCGACAUUGUUAUGUGCUCAUGCUUCAUCGGUGCGUUUUGGGAGAGUUGCGAGUAUGUGGGCACAAAUAUUUCACCGCUUAAAGGCAUUAUAAAGUAGUUAGUAUAGGAACUAGAAGCAAAUGGGGAUCUUUUCUAAUUUAGAGUUACACUUACUGCGUGACUAACCUGAGACGUGAGCUAUACGAGAGAUAAAUUGUUUAACAUUACAAGUGAGCAUUAUAUUCACGUGUUUCACCUUGAAUUGUUAAAUUACUCAGAAAUUCUUAGUUUUUGUGGAAGAGAGACAGAGUACUUGAACCUUCUUUGCUGUUCUUUAAUUAUUAAGAUCGAUAACGGAGUUGUGGGAGACUUUGGGGACACAUAAAUGAUAAAUUGAGUUUGGGACUGUGGAAUUGUUCUUGGAGAUGUUCAAGCCAUUUUUGCCAUAGUGUUCUUCUGAGAGGUACGAAUCUGCUCAUUGUUAAUUUUCGGUUACAAAUCUUUAGGUGUAUUUGACAUGAAGAUGAAGUACAAAUGCCCUAUCAUAUCCAGUUAGAUAUUACCACCUUUUACGUUAACAUUUAUGAAACAUGAAGUACUCUGUACAUAUACCUUUCUAGUUUACACAAACCUCUUGCAGUACUAAUUGAGUUAUUUGGAGCUGAAGUCUUGAAAGUUACUUGAGCUGUGCUUGUUACCCGAUGUCCCAUUGGGGACAGUACUUAAUCUCCUGCGGGACCUGGCUGAGUCUGAGAAGGGUAUUUAUGCUUCUAUUACAGUAAUGUGUCGGAAGGAUUUGAUGUUAUUAGUUAUCAGUAAGGUAUAAUUUCCUAAGAUCUGGUAAAUACUUUUCUCUUUCUUUGCACCCGUCCUCUGGGUUUUAUGAGGUUAUAAUCUUUAAGCAGUAGCAGCGAUAAGGUGUCACAUUAGAGUAAUAGAUGAUGUGCUAACAGAGCAAAAUCAUGUAAUGAAUACAGUUUGGAUGAUCAACAUAUAAAAUUAUCUUUCGUUGAGAACUGGGUACCAGUGCAUCUUAUGUAAAUCAUGUUUGCCGAUGUAUCAUGAUCUCUGCACCAUAUAUUUGUUUGUAUAUUUACUCAUUGAACUUCUUUUUAACAUGCAACACUUAUGGAAUUUAUCUAAAUUAAUUUUAUAAUAUAUAGUCGGAUUAUCUACGAAAAAUAUCUUUGAAGUUUCUGUCUAUGGAGACAAAAUUUCAGAAGAAUGCAGUUGCUAAUUCUUUGCCGUUAAAUACUGCUGGUGGUAGCCAAAAUCCUCAAGAUCCAGCGUCUCACAGUAUGCAGUCUCAAGUGCGCAACCUAGGACAGUCACAAUUUUCUUUAGUUAACCAGUCUCUAGCCCAGCAGCAGCUGUUGUCCCAGAAUAUUCAGAAUAAUAUCACAAAUCCCGGGGAUGCUGGUCGUCCAGAAGUUGGUGGUUUUCGUAGUUGGGAUGGUGGUCCUCUUGAAACUAAUCGUAAGGAACUAGAGGGUAGAGGCGAGGAACACGGAUAUCUUGAUUUAACCCUCAAGCUUUUGAAUGUAAUAUUAGGCGAGGAAACCGGAUAUUUAACCCUCAAGCUUAAGAAUGUAACAUUUCUCCAUUUUCCUUGUAUUUAACUCUCAAGCUUAAGAAUGUAAUAUUUCUCCAUUUUCCUUGUGUUGUUCGACGUGCCAGUUGUGGCAUGAUAUAUGAAGGCAAACAAAUAUAGAAAUGUAUUUAUUUUUCA